GCAAAUGGGAACUUGCUCCUGAUGUCAGCGGCGGACGGGUGAGUAACACGUGGGUAACCUGCCUGUAAGACUGGGAUAACUCCGGGAAACCGGGGCUAAUACCGGAUGCUUGAUUGAACCGCAUGGUUCAAUUAUAAAAGGUGGCUUUUAGCUACCACUUACAGAUGGACCCGCGGCGCAUUAGCUAGUUGGUGAGGUAACGGCUCACCAAGGCAACGAUGCGUAGCCAACCUGAGAGGGUGAUCGGCCACACUGGGACUGAGACACGGCCCAAACUCCUACGGGAGGCAGCAGUAGGGAAUCUUCCGCAAUGGACGAAAGUCUGACGGAGCAACGCCGCGUGAGUGAUGAAGGUUUUCGGAUCGUAAAACUCUGUUGUUAGGGAAGAACAAGUACCGUUCGAAUAGGGCGGUACCUUGACGGUACCUAACCAGAAAGCCACGGCUAACUACGUGCCAGCAGCCGCGGUAAUACGUAGGUGGCAAGCGUUGUCCGGAAUUAUUGGGCGUAAAGCGCGCGCAGGCGGUUUCUUAAGUCUGAUGUGAAAGCCCCCGGCUCAACCGGGGAGGGUCAUUGGAAACUGGGGAACUUGAGUGCAGAAGAGGAGAGUGGAAUUCCACGUGUAGCGGUGAAAUGCGUAGAGAUGUGGAGGAACACCAGUGGCGAAGGCGACUCUCUGGUCUGUAACUGACGCUGAGGCGCGAAAGCGUGGGGAGCGAACAGGAUUAGAUACCCUGGUAGUCCACGCCGUAAACGAUGAGUGCUAAGUGUUAGAGGGUUUCCGCCCUUUAGUGCUGCAGCAAACGCAUUAAGCACUCCGCCCUGGGGGAAGUACGGUCGCAGACUGAACUCAAGGAAGUUGGACGGGACCUGCACUAGCGUGAUCAAGGUUGGCUUUUAUAAU
rnacentral:rRNA from 1 species